GCCGGGCAUGGUGGUGUGUGCCUGUAAUCUCAGCUACUCCAGAGGCUGAGGCAGGAGAAUUACUUGAAUUCAGGAGGUGGGGAUUGCAGUGAGCCGAGCUUGUGCCACUACACUCCACCCUGGAUGACAGAGUAAGAUUCUGUUUCAA
ensembl:misc_RNA Metazoa_SRP Metazoan signal recognition particle RNA